rnacentral:lncRNA from 1 species
CAAGUCGAUAAGCAAAGCUUCAAGAAGAACCUGCCCGUUGUGACCUACGAAGAUAUUAAGCCUUAUAUAGAUCGUAUAGCUAAUGGAGAGCCGUCUGAUCUCAUCUGUGAUCGACCCAUCAGUGUACUCUUGACCAGGUACCUUCACAAGGAUCCCCUUUUUCUGAACCUUGGAAUCUCCUUUUGCAGAUUCAAAGCAAAAGUUUCUUCUGCUAUGUGAAUCUGUGAUAACUAAAACUAAUUCUCGAAGUUUUGUGUAUAGAAGUUUAAUGGAAGAUUUAAAGGAAUUUAUAUGCUUCCACAUUUAGAUAAAUUGUUGACUAAAAUUUCUAGAAGAGUCUUGAAAUCUAGGAGUCUUGGUUGAAAACUUGUUAAUACAUGAGUUUGUUACUGUCAAAAAUUUUACAAGUAUAGUUAACCUUGUAGAAUCCGUAAAGAGUUAAGUACACAAUUGUAUUUGCAGCUCCGGUACUUCAGGAGGAGUUCCAAAGUUGAUUCCUUUGACAACAGAGGAUUUGGUACAGAGGAUCUCGCUUGCAUCUCUCUAUAGACCUCUACUCUACAAGUAAAGGGUUCUAAACUCCAACUUGUGUCUGUUUUAUUCACACCAGAAAAAAAAAAGAGUUAGGUUUAACCCAAAACUCUUUUGUAUAUGCGGUUUGUAGGCACAUUGAGGGGGUUAAAGAAACAAAAUCCCUCUUGUUUUAUUUUGUGAGCCGAGAGAGCGAGACAGCCUCUGGGAUAUUGGUCAGGACUAUGAUAACUAGUGUUUUGAAAAGCGUGACGCCAGAAACCAAAUAUAUCUGGUAAAUCAAUAGAACCUUUGCUCCCAUAGUACAACAUUACACAAUUCACUCUUUCUGCUAGUGCGUGUGUUUUUUAUUAGCGCUUGACUAAUUUGCGGGGCUGAACAUGUCCCUUGGUGCUGAGACGGUUUCUUUAUUGUGUUUGACAUGUGACUUACAGGGAUCAAACACAGGUAAGCCCGCAUGCAAUUUCGACUUGUGCAGACACUACUCAGAGCAUGUACUGCCAGUUGCUUUGUGGGAUUCUACAACGAGAUAAUGUAGGUCGCCUCGGUGCACCCUUUGCUUCUACAUUCCUCAAAGUAAUAAAGUUCUUGGAAGAUCACUGGCCUGAGUUAUGCUCAAACAUUAGGACUGGCCGUCUCAGCGACUGGAUCACAGACGCUCAAUGUGUUUCAGGGAUCAGUAAGUUCCUCACCGCUCCAAAUCCCGAACUAGCUAGCCUGAUUGAGCAAGAGUGCAGCAAAACUUCAUGGGAAGGUAUAGUGAGGAGACUAUGGCCAAAAGCAAAAUGCAUUGAAGCCAUCGUUACCGGCUCCAUGGCACAGUACAUUCCAUUGCUGGAAUUUUAUAGCGGCGGUCUUACUGUCAUCUCAACGCUUUACGGAAGCUCUGAAUGUACCAUCGGUGCUAAUUUUAAUCCUCUGUGUAAGCCUAGUGAUGUGUCGUACACCAUCAUUCCAAGUAUGGGGUACUUCGAGUUCUUGGAGGUCGAGAAAGACCAUCAAGAAACUGGUCAUGAUCCCAUGGAGAAACAUGUGGUCGUCGAUCUUGUCGAUGUUAAAGUCGGCCAUGAUUAUGAACCUGUUCUCACAACGUUUUCUGGUAAGCCAUUUUCAUGUUUACUCUUUUUAUAUCAAAACCAAUGUCGUUAUAGAACUUGUUUCAAAAUCCUUGUUUUACAAAAUGAUUCAAGACCAAAAUAAACAUUUCAGUUUUUUUUUUUGUUCUCAGAAGAUCUGUUACAUUUUUUUUACAGGUCUGUACAGGUACCGUGUGGGGGACGUUUUAAGAGUGACUGGUUUCUACAACAAUGCGCCACAGUUUCAUUUCGUGGGAAGACAGAAAGUUGUUCUGAGCAUCGACAUGGACAAGACCAGUGAAGAAGACCUGCUUAAGGCAGUGACAAACGCGAAGCUCCUGCUCGAGCCACAUGACUUGAUGCUCAUGGAUUUCACUAGCCGUGUAGAGUCCUCCCCGUUUCCAGGACACUACGUACUCUACUGGGAACUCGGUAGCAAAGUCAAGGAUGCAAAGCUCGAGCCCAACCCGAAUGUUUUGGAGGAAUGCUGCUUCACCAUUGAGGAGUCUCUCGACCCUGUUUACAGAAAAGGACGAAAGAAUGAUAAGAACAUUGGACCACUUGAGAUUAAGGUUGUUAAGCCUGGCGCUUUUGACGAGCUCAUGAACUUUUUUGUGUCUCGAGGCUCUUCUCUGAGUCAGUACAAGACACCGAGGUCGGUGACGAAUGAAGAAGCCUUGAAGAUAUUGGAAGCGAACGUUGUGUCCAAGUUCCUUAGCCGGAAAACUCCAACGUGGGAGCUACAUGAGCUCUACUCCAGCCGCUAAAAGCCUAAAACCACCGUCACAUUAUCCGUGAGACUUCAUGGGCAGGGGAAAUAUUAUUUAAGAAUUUUAUCACUUCUAAAUACUUCCAAUUCUGCCAUUGUUAUAUUUCAAAACCAUAAUUAGGUCGAGGUCAAACUCAUUGGUAUAAAUAAAAUUAAGAUUACUUGCGCUGGGGUAUAUAUAUAUAUAUAUAUAUUUUUUAAAAAAUAAUACAAAACUUGUAUGGUACUAAUUGAACCCAACCCAUAAUAAUGCUUAACUUGCCUCCGCGCCCUUGUCGGAAACUCAUCCUAAAUUUUUGACACACGAUAUUUUUGCCAGAUCACACCCUUUAUCUGCAGGCGAGACAGAGAGAGAGAGAAAGAGGCCACAGCUCAUCCACUGCGCCAGAACAGAGGUUUGUUCUUUCACUCUUUCGUAACAAUCUCGUGAUCCACAAGAGACGAUAAGACUAUUGCUUUUAAUGCAGACAAUAAAAAAAGCAGCAAACAUGUUGCCAAAGUUCGAUCCAACAAACCCAAUAGCCACCAUGUCUCUUCUUGAGGAUGUGACGACCAACGCAAAGAAGAUUCAAGAUUCUGUGUUGGAAGCAAUACUUUCACAUAAUGCCCAGACAGAGUACCUUAGAGGUUUCCUCAACGGUCAACUCGAUAAGCAGAGCUUCAAAAAGAGCCUACCCGUUGUGACCUACGAAGAUAUUAAGCCUUAUAUUGAUCGUAUCGCUAGUGGAGAGCCGUCUGAUCUCAUUUGCGAUCGACCUAUCAAUCUGCUCUUGGCCACGUACAUUCAGAACAAUACUCUUAAUUCCUCUUUGUUUCAAAACUUUUUGAUACAUAAGUUUGUUAAUCUUCAAUAGUGUACAUUACACUGAAGUGUAUAAUAAAGUGAUUGGUUUUGCAGCAC